rnacentral:ncRNA from 1 species
AUUGUGGCGAUGAACAAGAAGAGUAAACUUCGCGGGCAUUUUUAGAGAGUCUCCGCUGCUGGGAAGGAGAUAAUGCCGGGAGUCGAAAGUUCGCUUGGGAGCUUUUCGGAGGAAAUGCCGGACGUGUGCUUCGCGUUAAGAAGAUGCAAGUGAUAAAUCAGGGUGGUACCGCGAAAUUCAGCCUUCGCCCCUCGU